AUACCUGCAAGAGAAUAUUGGCAAUGGAGACUUCUCUGUGUACAGUGCCAGCACCCACAAGUUCUUGUACUAUGAUGAGAAGAAGAUGGCCAAUUUCCAGAACUUUAAGCCGAGGUCCAACAGGGAAGAAAUGAAAUUUCAUGAGUUCGUUGAGAAACUGCAGGAUAUACAGCAGCGAGGAGGGGAAGAGAGGUUGUAUCUGCAGCAAACGCUCAAUGACACUGUGGGCAGGAAGAUUGUCAUGGACUUCUUGGGUUUUAACUGGAACUGGAUUAAUAAGCAACAGGGAAAGCGUGGCUGGGGGCAGCUUACCUCUAACCUGCUGCUCAUUGGCAUGGAAGGAAAUGUGACACCUGCUCACUAUGAUGAGCAGCAGAACUUUUUUGCUCAGAUAAAAGGUUACAAACGAUGCAUCUUAUUCCCUCCGGAUCAGUUCGAGUGCCUCUACCCAUACCCUGUUCAUCACCCAUGUGACAGACAGAGCCAGGUGAGCUUGUGUGGUCUGAGAAGGGUAUAGAACUCUAGAUUCUAGUAAUGCCUAGGCUGGAAUGUCUUUCCCCUUCCCCGUAGUGAUAUGCCAGGUUCGGAUUACAGGCUGUUCUUGCCUUAACACACCAAGAGGGUAAUUUCAUUGUAGCUCACAUAUUCCAGGCUCCCUGGAGUGGCCACCAGAUGUUUGUAAGUAUAACUAGCCCCACAGAGCUAAUUCUCAGGACAGACACUGUCAUUGAUGCUGAUGGACUCUGGUUACUCUGUUUGAUUGGCUUAUAAGUUUAUGGAACAAAAUGUGUAUGUCUCCAUUGGAUUUAAUCAUUGUUUGCUUUUGUCAUGGAUGCUAUUUCUUUUUGAUAAGAAGGGUGAAUAAAACUGAGCUAUGUUAUUUAAUGU
rnacentral:sRNA from 1 species